UGUUCAGGGUAGGACUCAAAGUGUGCACGAGGCAAGCCAAAGUAGCCAGUGAGUAAGGGGUUAUGAGCUCUUAGGGUAAUUAAAUUGUGGUGCGUAAUCUGCCUGGGCCAUUAUGUAGCCAGUGGAAAGAGGCUGGUGGCUCCUUGAGGUAAUUUAAGAGUUGGCUUUGAUGUGGAGAAAAUAUCUGGAGCCAUCUGGUUUCCUGUAAGCAUCCUCUGGGGAGGUGCAGGAGCAGCCUCACCAGCACAGCCUGGCUGUGACCCCACAGGGAACCCUGAGGCCAGGCUCUGGUUGUGAGCUGCUGCUUCCUAGCCUGAAGGAACAAGGGUGGUGGUGCACAACAGCCAAGUAGGUGUGGGGUAUGGCAGCUGCCUCGUGGGGAGGAGAAGCAGUCCUUCCAUGCUGGUUAGACCUUGGGAAAGCAUCCUGUUUUGGGCUUUGCCUUCAGAAGAAGAGACUAUCAAGAUCGCCGGCUUUAUUCCAUGCCGUCACCUAAGCCAUUAAUGCACUGUGCUCAGAGCUGUAUCUUGCAGGCCUUUCUCUUCCCUCUCAGGAGAGGUUUUCUUAUGAAGUGCCAUCGUAGGAAGCGGGGCCAGGUGCUCCGGUACGAUGCAUUACAGUUCUUCAUAAGCAAGUUCCCCUGUUCCUGGAACAAACAGUGACUUUCCACAUAAGACUCCUCCGCUUCCCUUCCCGGCAGCAGGCAGACCUGCAGGGUGACUGAUUUUGAUGAUAAUAAAGAAAAGCACACUGUGUGUGCACUGGGGAAAUAAUAAGAAAAUGAUAUCUGAGUGGUUUGAAGUGGGGUUCUUAGGACCUGCAUCCUCAGCUGGGGUUUCUCAGUGCUCCUUCCCCGCUGCUCUGUUGCUGCCCAUCAACUGGACGUCUCCUCAAGCAGCCAGGCCUUGGGCAGUUGGUUCCAGGAGCACGUCAGCAAAGUGCAAUAAGAAAGUUAGGGAUUGUUAUGACAGACAAAGGCUUUGGGAUUGUAUAGGGCAAGCAGGCAGGUUUGGGGAUUAUUGUCCCUCCUGCAUGAGGUGCAGUGAGCUGAGAGCUGGAAGCUGUGGUGGUCACUGGUGGAGGUGCUCACCGAGGCUCCUGGCGUGGGUGGGUGGAUGUACCCUCAAACAGCCCUGCUUUACUGCCUUGGGGGGGCUCCUACGAGCUCUCUGCUCUCAAAAUCAAAGCUAAAUAAAGCCUGGAACACUG